UGGUUUGAAAUGAGCAAGCUUCAAGUUUCCGAUCAAAAUCAAAGCACUUGAGUUCCGUUGGUCGUUUAAGAAGAAAGAAGAAAAAUGCCGAAGUGUGGAUGUGGCUCUGCCUGCAACUGCGAUCUCAACAACUGCUCAUGCAAACAUGAUGCCGCUCCCAUCAUGAAACAGAACUUGUCAGGCGGCUGCAAAUGUGGAGCGAAUUGCAGUUGCGACCCAUGCAACUGCAAAUGAAAGGCGUCGGAGUUUUCGAUAUGAAAAGGCAUAAAUUAGAGUAAGGGUUGGGUAUGGUUCUGUGUGUUUGUGUGUGUAAGGUGUUUGACAAAAUGCCGCUUACAAAUACUUCAAAGAAAUAAUGAACCACAUAUAUCUAUGUACCUUUGUUUUCUGAUGUUAUUUCAAAUGGGCUGGUUAUGACUGCCCAAUUUCUAUUA